rnacentral:rRNA from 1 species
AGCGAACGCUGGCGGCAGGCCUAACACAUGCAAGUCGAACGAAGCCUUCGGGCUUAGUGGCGGACGGGUGAGUAACUCGUGGGAACGUACCUUUUGGUUCGGAACAACUCAGGGAAACUUGAGCUAAUACCGGAUGAGCCCUUAGGGGGAAAGAUUUAUCGCCGAAAGAGCGGCCCGCGUUAGAUUAGCUAGUUGGUUAGGUAAAGGCUCACCAAGGCUACGAUCUAUAGCUGGUCUGAGAGGAUGAUCAGCCACACUGGGACUGAGACACGGCCCAGACUCCUACGGGAGGCAGCAGUGGGGAAUCUUGCGCAAUGGGCGAAAGCCUGACGCAGCCAUGCCGCGUGAAUGAUGAAGGUCUUAGGAUUGUAAAAUUCUUUUACCAGGGACGAUAAUGACGGUACCUGGAGAAAAAGCCCCGGCUAACUUCGUGCCAGCCGCCGCUGUAACAC